rnacentral:rRNA from 1 species
AUUGAACGCUGGCGGCAGGCCUAACACAUGCAAGUCGGACGGUAGCACAGAGGAGCUUGCUCCUCGGGUGACGAGUGGCGGACGGGUGAGUAAUGUCUGGGGAUCUGCCCGAUAGAGGGGGAUAACCACUGGAAACGGUGGCUAAUACCGCAUAACGUCGCAAGACCAAAGAGGGGGACCUUCGGGCCUCUCACUAUCGGAUGAACCCAGAUGGGAUUAGCUAGUAGGCGGGGUAACGGCCCACCUAGGCGACGAUGCCUAGCUAGUCUGAGAGGACGACCAGCCACACUGGAACUGAGACACGGUCCAGACUCCUACGGGAGGCAGCAGUGGGGAAUAUUGCACAAUGGGCGCAAGCCUGAUGCAGCCAUGCCGCGUGUAUGAAGAAGGCCUUCGGGUUGUAAAGUACUUUCAGCGGGGAGGAAGGCGAUGUGGUUAAUAACCGCAUUGAUUGACGUUACCCGCAGAAGAAGCACCGGCUAACUCCGUGCCAGCAGCCGCGGUAAUACGGAGGGUGCAAGCGUUAAUCGGAAUUACUGGGCGUAAAGCGCACGCAGGCGGUCUGUUAAGUCAGAUGUGAAAUCCCCGGGCUUAACCUGGGAACUGCAUUUGAAACUGGCAGGCUUGAGUCUCGUAGAGGGGGGUAGAAUUCCAGGUGUAGCGGUGAAAUGCGUAGAGAUCUGGAGGAAUACCGGUGGCGAAAGGCGGCCCCCUGGACGAAGACUGACGCUCAGGUGCGAAAGCGUGGGAGCAAACAGGAUUAGAUACCCUGGUAGUCCACGCCUAAACGAUGUCGACUUGGAGGUUGUUCCCUUGAGGAGUGGCUUCCGGAGCUAACGCGUUAAGUCGACCGCCUGGGGAGUACGGCCGCAAGGUUAAAACUCAAAUGAAUUGACGGGGGCCCGCACAAGCGGUGGAGCAUGUGGUUUAAUUCGAUGCAACGCGAAGAACCUUACCUACUCUUGACAUCCACGGAAUUUGGCAGAGAUGCCUUAGUGCCUUCGGGAACCGUGAGACAGGUGCUGCAUGGCUGUCGUCAGCUCGUGUUGUGAAAUGUUGGGUUAAGUCCCGCAACGAGCGCAACCCUUAUCCUUUGUUGCCAGCGAUUCGGUCGGGAACUCAAGGGAGACUGCCGGUGAUAAACCGGAGGAAGGUGGGGAUGACGUCAAGUCAUCAUGGCCCUUACGAGUAGGGCUACACACGUGCUACAAUGGCGCAUACAAAGAGAAGCGACCUCGCGAGAGCAAGCGGACCUCAUAAAGUGCGUCGUAGUCCGGAUCGGAGUCUGCAACUCGACUCCGUGAAGUCGGAAUCGCUAGUAAUCGUGGAUCAGAAUGCCACGGUGAAUACGUUCCCGGGCCUUGUACACACCGCCCGUCACACCAUGGGAGUGGGUUGCAAAAGAAGUAGGUAGCUUAACCUUCGGGAGGGCGCUUACCACUUUGUGAUUCAUGACUGGGGUG